rnacentral:rRNA from 1 species
CCUACGGGAGGCAGCAGUAAGGAAUAUUGGUCAAUGGGCGCAAGCCUGAACCAGCCAUGCCGCGUGCAGGAAGACGGCCCUAUGGGUUGUAAACUGCUUUUGAACAAGAGAAAACCUCGGUACGUGUACCGAGCUGAUAGUAUUGUUAGAAUAAGCAUCGGCUAACUUCGUGCCAGCAGCCGCGGUAAGACGAAGGAUGCAAGCGUUAUCCGGAUUCAUUGGGUUUAAAGGGUGCGUAGGCGGACCGAUAAGUCAGUGGUGAAAUCUCUCAGCUUAACUGAGAAACUGCCAUUGAUACUGUCAGUCUAGAGUAUAGAUGAUGUGGGCGGAAUAUGACAUGUAGUGGUGAAAUACUUAGAUAUGUCAUAGAACACCGAUUGCGAAGGCAGCUCACAAAACUAUAACUGACGCUGAGGCACGAAAGUGCGGGGGAUCAAACAGGAUUAGAUACCCUGGUAGUCCGCACCGUAAACGAUGAUUACUCGUUGUUGGCAAAUNUGACGUCGCGCGACCGACGACGAAGACGAGAAGUAAGUACGACCGUCGGUAGGUACGGCCGGCCGACGGUACGGAACGUACGAACGUAAGUAGUUAGACGCGAGGAGACGCGACGACGGACGACGACGGAGGGAGGAGG